rnacentral:rRNA from 1 species
GAUGAACGCUGGCGGCGUGCCUAAUACAUGCAAGUCGAACGAAAAGACGAUGCUCUUGUGCCGCGCACGUUAGGCGCACAGGUGAGUAAAACGCGAGUAUAACCUACUUAUCAUACGGAUAAAUCUUCGAAAAACCGGCGCAAAUCCCAUAGGAUCUCCUGCAGCACGUUGGGCGAUGGAAAAAGUCGGCCGUUCUGGAUGGAAUCGAGGGUUAUCAGCUUGUUGGUGGGGUAGUGGAGUACCAAGGCUUUGAAGGGUAGCCGGCCUGGGAGCGGGACCAGCCACAUUGGGACUGAGGGACGGCCCAGACGCCUACGGGAGGCAGCAGUGGGGAAUAUUGCACAAUGGGCGGAAGCCUGAGGCAGCAACGCCGCGUGCGUGAUGACGGCCUUCGAGGUGUAAACCGCUGUCGCCUGUGACGAAGAGUGAUUGACGGUAAUGGGUAAAAAAGCACCGGCUAACUACGUG